rnacentral:tRNA from 1 species
GGUUGCUUAGUUUAAACAAAACAGAUGUUUUGAAAACAUCAGAUAAGAAGACUUCUCUUAACAAUCG